GCUCAGGAUGAACGCUAGCUACAGGCUUAACACAUGCAAGUCGAGGGGUAGCAGGGUAGCAAUACCGCUGACGACCGGCGCACGGGUGAGUAACACGUAUCCAACCUUCCCAUAACUCGGGGAUAGCCUUUCGAAAGAAAGAUUAAUACCCGAUAGUACUUUAUUAAGGCAUCUUAAGAAAGUUAAAGAUUUAUUGGUUAUGGAUGGGGAUGCGUUCCAUUAGAUAGUUGGUGAGGUAACGGCUCACCAAGUCUUCGAUGGAUAGGGGUUCUGAGAGGAAGGUCCCCCACAUUGGUACUGAGACACGGACCAAACUCCUACGGGAGGCAGCAGUGAGGAAUAUUGGUCAAUGGGCGAGAGCCUGAACCAG
rnacentral:rRNA from 1 species